AACGUUUUCCCCCUUUUCUGGUUUACAAGACCAGGGUAAUGUGCGAAC
rnacentral:tRNA from 1 species